UCAAGGUGGACCUAAGAAAGCAAUGAACUCUUUCAGAAGCCACUGGAAAAAAGACCAAUUUACAGAAGUAAGGAAUUUAAUAGCAGCUCUAUCUACCAACCAAUGUGCCCAGUAUAGGGUGCCCAUCAUGGGGCCCAGCUGUUGAUGACCACAAAGGACACAGAUAAUGGCCACCUAGUAUCAUUUGGGAUAAGGGGGGCCAACAGGGCCAGAAGUGGUGCUGGAGGUGGUCUCUCGGGUGAAGAAUGUUGGAGAGAAUGAGAAAUGCCCAAAGGAUGGGAGCAGAGGUGCAGCCGCAGAGAAGGAAGAGAGAAUGGCUCAUCGGGGCAGCUCCUAUAACAGCCCAGCCUGAGAACCUGGCCCUGAG